AGGAGUCAGUGCUGUGAGGAGCUGACCGUGAGAAAUCAUUGAGAAGGAAACUACCACAUCUUCUCAAAGGAACCACCUCCUGCCUGUGAGUCUGCAGCCAAAGCUUUGCAGUGAGGAGAAAAUGCAGCACAGCCAGGAGAGUGCUGGGCUCCAGAAAGCAUUUCAGCCUGUGGAGAGCUGUGCUGUUCUUUAGGAGAUGCUGAAUUCUGCAGCUUUGUGUGCAUUUAUUCAGAGCCUUCAGUUUUGUCAUUUCAUCAGCUAGUGGAUGAAAUGUUUCUUUAAAGCUGUUUUUACCGACAGAGGAACAAAUAGAGUCAACUCUGUGUAAAGCUGCUACAGAGCCCUAGAAUGGACAUAAGUAUAAGGAAUAAAUAAUGGACCGCCUAUGAGUUAUUGGAUUCUAGUGAGUUGUGCUCAGGGGACUCCUGGCAGAGCCACUUUUGCCAUGGUUGCUACAGAAUGAGCUCCACAGCCCUCCAGAGUGGGGGUGGCUGUUGUAGUGUGUUGUAAUGUCCUGUUUUAGACUUCCGGGUCCCGGGUCCCUUCCCAGGUGUGCCUA